AAAAGAUUGAGCUUGCUCGAAAUAUGCCUUCGGCAAAGAGAAAGGAUUUUGGUUUUGUUACAUUUGACACACAUGAUGCUGCAGUUUCAUGUGCGAAAAGCAUUAACAACUCAGAACUUGGUGAAGGGGACAACAAGGCUAAGGUAAGGGCUAGAUUGUCUAGACCACUGCAAAGAGGCAAAGGAAAACAUGCUAGUCGAACUGAUUAUUGGCCUGGACGCACAACUGGACGAGCAGUAAGGGGUUCCUGGGGGAGACCGGCUCCACGAAGUAUUCCUGUUCGAGGAGUAAGAGGUGUUGGCAGCCAUCUCCCACCUGUCAGUGUAAAGAGGCCCAGUGGUGUUAGAGAUAGACGUCCUGUCAUUGCAGUGCCAGCACGAGGUAGACCAAUUGCUCCUGUGGCAAGGUCUUAUGACAGGGGGCCUCCUGUUGCCUCUUACUCAAAGAGUAGCUUGAAGAGGGAGU
rnacentral:misc_RNA from 1 species